AUUUUUAAAGAGCCGUGGAAUUUUGACCGUGCAGAGAGUCAGUAAUCUCAUUUAGUUUUUUAAUUGGAUGCUGGAAUGAAUGGUUUGACAGAAGAAAUUAACUGUCUCUUAAUAAAUUAUAAAAUUUAACUUUUAAGUUAAAAGGACUCAAAUAUAUCUUUAGGACGAGAAGACCCUAUAGAGCUUAACAUUAAAAGUUUUUUGUGUUUUAUCUUGUUUAUCUUUCUAUAAUAAAUUUUAAUGUUUGGUUGGGGUGACAUAAAGAAUAAAUAAACUCUUUAUUAUAAAAUCAUUAAUUUAUGUUUAUUUGAUCCAUAAUUUAUGAUCAUAAGAUUAAGUUACCUUAGGGAUAACAGCGUAAUCAUUUUUGAGAGUUCUUAUCAAUAAAAUGGGUUGCGACCUCGAUGUUGGAUUAAGAAUAAUAUUGGGUGUAGUA
rnacentral:rRNA from 1 species